rnacentral:rRNA from 1 species
GACGAACGCUGGCGGCGUGCUUAACGCAUGCAAGUCGAACGGAAAGGCCCCGUCCUUGUGGGGUGCUCUAGUGGCGAACGGAAGAGUAACAUGUCACUAACCUACCCUUCACUCUGCGAUAACAUCACGACACUGGGGCGUAUCCAGGAUAGGAGCUCCUGCUGCUUUGUCGUGGUUGGUCAGUGUCGGCGGUUGGGGAUGGACUCGAUGCUCAUCAGCCUGUUGGUCGGGUAGUGGCUUACCAAGGCUUUGACGGGUGGCCGGCCUGAGCGGGUGACCGGCCACGUUGGGACUGAGAUACGAGCCAGACGCCUGCGGGAGGCAGCAGUGGGGGAUAGUGCGCAAUGGGCGGAAGCCGGAUGCGGCAGCGCCGCGUGGGGGAUGAAGGCCUUCGGGUUGUGAACCGCUUUCGCCUGGGAUGAGGCGUGAGUGACGGUAAUGGGUAAAGAAGCACCGGCUAACUACGUG